rnacentral:lncRNA from 1 species
AACCUUGGAGUGAUCAGCUUCCAAGAUGACCUUCUUGAUUGCCCCCAAGCUGCUGAACAGAUUGAGCAUUGCAAGUGUUGCUAAAAUAUCAAACAUUGGUGAAGUAGCACCGAACUCUAUCAGCUCUUGCUCAUAUCUUUUCGAGACAUCGUCGUCAGCUACCUUGGCCGUGAUGACAAAGGCUGCCUUUGAAAACCCUAAUAAAUUCAAGAUGGUGUCGAAGAAGGCAAAGAAGUAGGAGGUUGUUCUUUUGAACAUCCACAUCCUUUGAUCGUUAAACCAACCUUGGAACGUGCCUCCGCACCAUAGGAAUUCUCCAAGGCUAUGGACGCGGUGUGCAAAGGCAACAUAUGCAAAUGGGACCACCCAGAGGGUCGAUGUCUGAUUGUCAAAAAUGAUUUAGUUAUUCAUGUGCAAAUUUACAAACUCCGUGGAUGUGUUAUGUUUAAAGCUCGUUUGACAUUGCAAUUGAGCUGCAUUUAGUCGCAAAUGCAUUGCCAAAUAAAGAUUUGACAAAUUUAAUUGAAAAAGUUGAGUGCUGGAAAUUUAGAAAGCAUAUUAAGAAUGAUGAUAAUGCUAAAGGAAUCAUUUUCGUUUGAAAGAUUUGAUUGUGAAAUUGGUUCCAAAUUCAGCUUGCUGUUUCUAAAAUAGUACAAAAAAGAGCAAGUUUGUCAGUGAGGAGAUUCAUACCUUAGGAAACAAGGAGAUGUCUUUAAGCAGGCAAAGGCAUGGCACAGCAACAUAAUACAACGUUGCCAAGCAGUUUGCAGCCCACAAAUUGUAAGGACAAUAUGCAAGUCGAAGUUUUAGAGGAAUCUUUUUAUGUCCAUACAACAGGGAGCAUUACCUUGACAGGAAUAUUUGCAAGUGACCUUCCGUCCAUCUCUUAUGUUGUAUUAACGUCUGCAAUAAUGUUGUUGGAGCAACUCCUAAGAAAGCUUCUCCUUGAGGAUUUAAGUAUAUAGAUUUCCAACCUCUACAUUGUAUACUCAAUCCUGUAAUUACAUCCUCCGCAGGGAAGCCAUAUGUUAAUCCCAUCUGCAACCAAAUAUUCAUAUCAUUAUUAUUAUGGAAAGUUGUCUGUUUGUGUGCGUGCACGUGCUCAUUUGAACAUGUGUUUAGGUAGGUGAGAAAGAGCAUUACGAACCUCUUUUCCCCAUUGUGUGUUUUGUUCAAAGGUACAGCUUGCAAGAACUUUACAUGUUUCUUCUAGGACGCUUGCACUUUCUUUAACCUUUCUCUCAUUUAGUCUCUUCCAAUCAACCUUACAGUCUUUGUCAUAUUUCUUCCCACAGAGAGCCUCUCUCCGGUGAAAGCAUCCGGAGCCAAUAUAGCAUGGCCCUCCAUUUGCGUCAAGUCCUGGAAGCUCCAACUUGAUUGUUGAUAACCCAUCACAGACAGAUGGAAGGAAAACAAAAAUAAUCAGAAUCUUCCUUAUUAGAUCAAUCACCGGCUUGCAUUAAAUUAAUUAGAGUAAAACAUUUCUGUUAUGCUUGAUUACCUGAUUUAUUACUCGGAAGGAACUACCAUACAAUUCAUUUUUGGUGAGAUUUUCGAAAUUCUGAGGAUACUGCACGUAGGCAAACUCAUCUCCCUUCUCUUCAUCCAUGAAAAAGCAUAAAGAAUUUUUGAUCGAUUCUGAAUUAUUCGAGUACAUAUCACAAUCCACAUUGAGAAUGAUUGGACCAUUACUUAUCCUUGAUGAUACCCUGAUCUAUAUAUUUAUCCACCGUAAAAAAAGGUUUCAAUAACAUAUGAAAAAGAAAACAAUUAGCUAUAAUGGUACUUACAAGAGCAUUCAUGGCUCCAGCUUUAAAAUGGUGGUGAAAUUGCGGUCUUUUCUCUCGUGCCAAAUACACAAGAGUUGGCAGAGGUCUUCCUUCAACAUCAACCGCAUUGGGGUCUCUCCCAUCAAUUAGGAUCUAAGAAAUUGAUUAAAACACCAGCAAUUAAAACUAAGCUCAAGUAUUUUACUAAGUUAUCGAAGCAUAAUUAAUUACUUGAAGAAUGGUUUGAUGAUCAUGUUUGCUUGAAACAAAAUCCCAUUCACGAAAUCCUUUGCGUUGUUUACGAAUGUCUUCAGGAAUUCGGUUCAACUUGGUGGUGGUUUCAAUCCUCAGUUUCAUGUCCUCGUAUAGUUUCUGCAUAAUUAAGAAAAAAGAUGCUUACCUUUUACAUAUAAAUGCUGGAGCAAAUAAUAUAUACUUAACAAUAGUAAGAAAGUUUGUCUCUGGUUUUUUGUUUGUUUCAUUAGUAGGAUCUGUGUUUUCGUUUCGACCAAGGAUGUGCCUUAUUUUUUGAUCGAGAUAUUCUCUUUGUAACACUGCUAUGUUCAUCCAUUUGCUUAGGGGCAAGCAGCUCUAAAACUCUUCUUGCGAAUUAGGUUAGAAGUUUAGCAUUCAUGAUAUUCACUGUCAAUGGCUUUUUGUGCAGUCUCUUUUGUAAGUGUACAGGUUUUCAAUAUUCGAACCAUGUCAAUGUGUCAUGAAAAGUCUAUUGUAGUAAGUAAGAGACUUGAAAUAUGCAUGAUUGAGGUUAAUAAAAUCUAAAAAAAAAGAAAAGUAAGAAAGUAAAAAAUUUAGCUCUAUGGUAUAAAACAACAGAUUAUUAUACUUUUAUAAACUUCUCUUUUAUUAUAUUCAAUCAAACUUUUAUAUUAUUAUUUUAAAUCAAAUAAAUUCUUAUAACUAAUAAUUAACUAAUUGUUGUUGUUAAUUAAAAUGUCUUUUAUUAUUUUAUACCAUGUGAUCAUGAUAUAACAUGUUGUCAUGUCAUAAUAGAUAAUAAUGUAACAUGUCAACGUCACAUAAAUAUAAAAAAAUAAAAAAUUUAAUUAAACAUAAUAAAAAAUAAAAAUUUAUUUAAAUUUAUAAUUCAAAAACUUUUUUACAUAUUAUACUUCCAAAUAAUUUGGUUUAGUAAUAAUUAUCCUCUUUAAUAGAAUAAAGAUUGGAUAUCCAAAUCAUCACUCUCCUUACAUAUAUAUGCAUCAUUUUCAAAUAAAAUUUUUAACCAAAUCGUUUUGUUUUGUUGUGAUUUUUCUUUUUAAACAACUAUUAUAUUCUUAUAAUUCAAAUAAAAUAUUUUCCAAAAAAAAAAGUAUAUAGUUAUCUUUCUAUGUACCCAAUUCUAUUUGGUAAAAAAUAAAUAAAAAUCAAGUUUAUCUCUCAAUCUCACCUCAUUUUUUUGGACAAAUUAACAUGAGACAAACACUGUUUUGCACAUGCUUAAGGUCAAACAAAGACAUUUUGUGCUUGAAAACAAAAAACGUAAUAAUAAUAGUUAAUAAACUUAAACAAAACAAGCAUUAGUAAUUGGUGCUACUCGGAUCGUCAAAAGAUAUUAAUAUAUAGGGAUCCCUAUUGGUUUUGUUUGGUAGCACCCGAAGAUCAAAAUAUCCUAAUAAAUAAAACUCAAAAGUCACUGAUUAAUUAAUAAAUUGCAAAUAGUAAUUUUCAAACCCACGAUAUUGUUGUCCUUUUUGACUUUUAUUGGAGAGUAAGACAAAAACUUUGUUUUUAAAGGACUUUAUAUUAAGAAUUUUAAUUUUUUAAUUUGAUAAUAUAUGGAGUAUUGGUUUGCAAUGCUUUUUAAUGUGAAAAAAAUUCUUCAAAAGACAUUAAAAAAAUUUAUAAUAUAAAAAUAUAAAAUUUUAUAUUAGAACAUUCCAAAGAAAAAGAUAGACAAAGAAAAUAAGAUGGAAGCAAGUAAUAUAAAUUUUCGAUCACAAAAAAUUAAUUUAUUAAGCAAUUACUACCUUUCAAAAAAAAAUUAUUAAGUAAUUACUCAAUGGAAACCUGAAAGUUGUUAAUUAAUAAAACAAAUUAUAAAAAUACUACUUUGGUACAAAAAUCGUAAUUAAUUAGUAGAGUACUGGAGGAAGUCCAAUUUAGAUGAAACAAUGCAACAAUAAUUGCAGAAAACCGCAAAAAGCAAACAUUCAACAGUGGUUGAUGUAAGACAAGUGAAACAAUUAAAUUACCUUUACUGAGAGCCACUCUUUGGCCUUGACGGGAUCAUUUACUGGUUCAAAAGCUGUCCUGAAGUAAGCCUCGGGCGACCUUGGUUCUACUUUGAACUUCUUGCAAAAGGGCAGCCAUUGCUUUGAGAAAGUUGCAGCCUCUAACAUGGCAUAGAACGUUAGGUCUGACCCGCCAUCGUCUGAUAGAUAGAUGCUUAACUUCUCUGGCGGAUAAUCAUAAGCCAUCACUGAUAACACUGUGUUGAUCACCAGGCUUGGUGGCUCUAUCAAUGGAUCCGCUGUGCAUACAAAUAUGUCUACUCCCGGUAAAUCUUUUUCGAACCUGUUAUUUUGUCCGAGAUUAAAACGAGCAGAUAAAAAAUAUACUCAGAUAAAAUUAAACACGUACAAUUAUAAAAUACGUAAUAAACUUCAUUCAAUUUUUCUUGAAUUAACUAGUUUUUUGUUAAAAUAACUUCUAUAUGUAUGAGAUACCUUUGAGAGAGCCUGUCUUUGUAAGGAAAGCGGUAGACAGAGUUCCAUCUACAAACUGUGGUGAGAAACCAAUAAAAACUGAACCAUAGCUCAGCAAGAAACAACCCAAUCCAAGUCCAUCUCUCAACUUUUCCUUUCUCUGGGAGAAACCUUACUCUGUAGAUACAAAUGAAGCAGAUGCCCACAAAGAUGGAAGCUGUAAACAGCCUGAAAGGGAUCCGUCCCUUAACCGGCCUUGUUUCGAAGAGUGGAACAUAAUCAUCCUUUGCCAUGCCUCCCUGCCAGCUCUCUCAACUAGUGUGGAUGGUGAAUGUGAUGAAUCGUACCAUAUAAAAGUCUAUAUAGCACUAAAAGUGGCUGACAUGAGAGCAACGUCUUUCGGCUUACUAUUUAUUGAUUUAUUGUCUUUCAUCUUCAUAUAUAUUUUUCAUGGUCAUUUUUAAUUUUUGAUAUUAAAGAACCAUGGGUUUGUUUUAUUUUCAUAAAAAUUUUAUAUAUUAAUUUCAAUUAUAAUAUUCUAAACAUAUAAAUAGACAAAAAAAAACAUAAUAUCGGUUCAUUUGAAAGAUUAAACUAUAAUUUCAGGUUACAAUAAAAAAAUUAAUCAAAAGUACAUAUGAAAAUUUCAUAAAAAUUUUAAUAAAGACGGAUUCAAUUUACUUUUUUUUACCAAUAAAUUCAAUUUACUCUAAUUAAAGAAAUUUUUUAGAAAAAUCUCAAAGCAAGAAGGAAACUCGAGAACUUGUCUAUUUGAACUAGCAAUUUAAAAAGUGAGAGGUCGAUUCAAAAUCAUACUCAUGGGGUAGCCUAAAUAAGUUGUAGACAUCAUUAUUUAAAUGACACAGCCUUGGUUUGGUCCUAUCCUUUAAUAUUUCGCUUUCUUACGAGACCUAAGCACAUAUUAAGAAAAAAUUCAUUUUUAUUGGAAUUUUAAUGGAAAAUUUCAUGGAAAGUUUUUUUUUCAAAGGUGGUCGAAAGCAUCUGUUAUUUAAAAAAAAUAUAAAACUAUUAUAAGAAUACAAAUUGUAAUUUUUUUAAAUAUUUAUAUGGCAAGAUCUAUUCUUUUACAAGAGAUAUAAAAUAUCUUAAAAAGAAAACAGAUGGUUAGAUUCCAUCUCCCCAUUUUUCUAAUCCAAUCAUCAUUAAUUAAAAUGCAUACUAUCAUAAUAUCAUAUUUUUAUUGGGUGGCAGCACUACAAUCUUUAAAAAAAAUUGCAUUAAUUAAUUAGUUUUUCCAGAUUAAGUCUUAAUUAAUUGCAGGAUAUUCAGAAACCCAAAUGCACUACGGCACUGCCUACUAGUACUGUCCUUUCCUGUGAUUAUUUAUAUAAUUAAUCAAAACUUAAUUACACAUCCUAUUAUUUUAAUGCUACGAUGAAAUCUGGGGCUAAAAGGUUUUGCCACUAUGAUGUAUGCGCCUAAUAUUCCAAGCUUAUCCUAAUUCUAUCACCAAAAUGGCUUGAAUAUCAUUGACUGAUUAAUUAUUUAAGUUGUGAUGGCUUAAUUAGAAUUUACAAGAAAUAAAUUAAAAGUGCAAUAGUUGGUUAAAAAAAUUAUAAAAAAAUCAUCGAAUAUUUUUUUUUCUCAGUCAAAAGUAGUAGAGUUAUCAUCAAAUACUAUUUAUCUUAAUACUUUUAUUUCAACUAUUUAUCCAAACAUGACAUGACUAAUUUAUUAGUGCAAAUUGGAUUAUCUCAAUUAUGAAUUCAUUAAUUCACCCAUCUCACGCUCAAAUUUCACACUAAUUUAUUGUCAUAUAGGAUAAAUAAUUUGGAUGAAGAUGAUGAAACAACUAAAAUAAUUUAGUAGAAUGAUUAACUAAUUAUUUAAUAGGUUUAGCCAAAGAAAUUCUUUUACUAAUGAAAAUAUUGAAAAUAUGAUAAUUUAAUAUGUAAUAUGUAACAUGUUACAUAUUUAAUAGCUUAAGCAGAUUAUGACGAGCACCCAAGCAUUUGAUUUAUUAAUUAAUGUAUAAUCUCUUUGUUUAAAAAGUAUGGAUUUGAAUCUGGCUUCCCUUACAAAUUAAAAUAGAAAUAGAAUUCCUUAAUUUAGAAAUGAUUUUUACCUUAAAAACACCAUGGAAUGCUUUAUUUGAUAAAAAUAAGACUUUCUCUUUGUUUUACAAAAUCAUUUCAAUUUUCAUACGAAUUGGAAAAACAAAAUGAUACAGAAAUGUUUUCCUGAUAGUGAGACCAAUAACAUCAAAAUGAAAUUAAAAAAAAUUGUGAAAUUCAUUUAUUUUAACAUACCCUUAGACAUGAAACAGAACAAUAUAUUAUUUCAGUUCAGAAUACACCUUAUUCUGGAAAGGAAAACGGAACUAAUAAGUACCCUUUUAUCUUUUUUUCAUUGGCGUAGUGAUUUAAUACAUGGCUAGUGUACAGACCAGCAAGGCAAAAACGAUGGACUUGUAAGUUACCGAACUGGGCAUUCUACCAUUGUCCUUUCGGAAAAAGAGUGCCUGGUAUACAGGGAAGUUGAUAGUAACCAAAAGCAAACAGAGGAGAAUCUGCAACCCAAAUAGGUCCAAAACCUUGGAGUGAUCAGCUUCCAAGAUGACCUUCUUGAUUGCCCCCAAGCUGCUGAACAGAUUGAGCAUUGCAAGUGUUGCUAAAAUAUCAAACAUUGGUGAAGUAGCACCGAACUCUAUCAGCUCUUGCUCAUAUCUGUUCAAGACUUCAUCGUCAGCUAUCUUGGCCGUGAUGACAAAGGCUGCCUUUGAAUACCCUAAUAGCUUCAAGAUGGUGUCGAAGAAGCCAAAGAAGUAGGAAGUUGUUCUUUUGAACAUCCACAUCCUUUGAUCGUUACACCAACCUUGGAAUG